UCAAACCGCCAGGGAAUUACGNCCCUCACUUAAAACCCAAAGGACUUGACGGUGUCCCACCCACCUAAAGGAGCCUGUUCUAUAAUCGACACCCCACGAUAUACCUCACCACCCCUAGCAUAUUCAGUCUGUAUACCUCCGUCGCAAGCUUACCAUGUGAACGACACAGUGAGCUAGAAGGUCACCCCCCCCC
rnacentral:rRNA from 1 species